AGAGUUUGAUCCUGGCUCAGGAUGAACGCUGGCGGCGUGCUUAACACAUGCAAGUCGAACGAACCUUCGGGUUAGUGGCGGACGGGUGAGUAACGCGUGGGAAUCUGCCCUCAGGAGGGGGAUAACGGCUGGAAACGGCCGCUAAUACCCCAUAUGCCGAGAGGUGAAAUGAAUUUCGCCUGAGGAUGAGCCCGCGUCUGAUUAGCUAGUUGGUGUGGUAAUGGCUCACCAAGGCUUCGAUCAGUAGCUGGUCUGAGAGGAUGAUCAGCCACACUGGGACUGAGACACGGCCCAGACUCCUACGGGAGUCAGCAGUGGGGAAUUUUCCGCAAUGGGCGAAAGCCUGACGGAGCAACGCCGCGUGAGGGAUGAAGGCCUCUGGGCUGUAAACCUCUUUUUUCAAGGAAGAAGACCUGACGGUACUUGAAGAAUAAGCCACGGCUAAUUCCGUGCCAGCAGCCGCGGUAAUACGGGAGUGGCAAGCGUUAUCCGGAAUUAUUGGGCGUAAAGCGUCCGCAGGCGGCCCUGAAAGUCUGUCGUUAAAGCGUGGAGCUCAACUCCAUUUAAGCGAUGGAAACUACAGGGCUAGAGUGUGGUAGGGGCAGAGGGAAUUCCCGGUGUAGCGGUGAAAUGCGUAGAUAUCGGGAAGAACACCAGUGGCGAAGGCGCUCUGCUGGGCCAUAACUGACGCUCAUGGACGAAAGCCAGGGGAGCGAAAGGGAUUAGAUACCCCUGUAGUCCUGGCCGUAAACGAUGAACACUAGGUGUCGGGGGAAUCGACCCCCUCGGUGUCGUAGCCAACGCGUUAAGUGUUCCGCCUGGGGAGUACGCACGCAAGUGUGAAACUCAAAGGAAUUGACGGGGGCCCGCACAAGCGGUGGAGUAUGUGGUUUAAUUCGAUGCAACGCGAAGAACCUUACCAGGGUUUGACAUCCUGCGAAUCCCUUGGAAACGAGGGAGUGCCUUCGGGAGCGCAGAGACAGGUGGUGCAUGGCUGUCGUCAGCUCGUGUCGUGAGAUGUUGGGUUAAGUCCCGCAACGAGCGCAACCCACGUCGUUAGUUGCCAGCAUUCAGUUGGGCACUCUAGCGAGACCGCCGGUGAUAAACCGGAGGAAGGUGUGGAUGACGUCAAGUCAUCAUGCCCCUUACAUCCUGGGCUACACACGUACUACAAUGCUACGGACAAAGGGCAGCAAGCUCGCGAGAGUUAGCAAAUCCCAUAAACCGUGGCUCAGUUCAGAUCGUAGGCUGCAACUCGCCUACGUGAAGGAGGAAUCGCUAGUAAUCGCAGGUCAGCAUACUGCGGUGAAUACGUUCCCGGGCCUUGUACACACCGCCCGUCACACCAUGGAAGUUGGCCACGCCCGAAGUCG
rnacentral:rRNA from 1 species